AUGAUUUACAGGAACGUGUUGAGGCCACUCCUUAAACACGUCAGUGCUCUGUUUAAAAGCGAGAGUCGAGGAUCAACAAAGGUCAGAAAACGGUAUGAAACCUACAAUGAACCCGCCAGACACCAAAUGUGUCUUGUAACAUGCCCAGAGGACCAUUUCAAACUCCAAGAAUUGCUGUGCUGCUUGAACUGCCCAGAAGGUAUGUAUGUUGCCCGGAAUUGCUCUGGAGGACCCACGAACUACAUUGGUGUGCUAUGUAAUCCAUGCCGCAGAUGUGAAGAACUUGGAGAGAUAACUGUUUCCCAGUGCAUGCAGUUUUCAGACACACAGUGUGACAGGAAAUUGCGACGGAUAACCUUGUAUGGUUCCUCUUCUGUGAUAGCCGCUAUUUUCAUCCUGACUGUGAUUGUGGCAGCCUGCUUCUUUUGCAGAAUCCGUAAAUCAGGUGAAUCUAAUGAAAGCUCCGCAGGAGAACCAUUCCACAUUUCCAUAUAAAAGAUACAGAGACAGUCUGAAGAAAAUCUUAAACAGAGGAAAAUGUCCAGCUUUAAGAAUUGUAUAUUAUCAUUCAGUGAUUCAAUAACAUUAGAAAUACUGCAAUAAACAGUUCUAAAAAGAGGACA
ensembl:lncRNA